rnacentral:rRNA from 1 species
GCAUAACGCGAAGAACCUUACCAGGGCUUGACAUCCCUCUGACCCCUCUAGAGAUAGAGGCUCUCUUCGGAGCAGAGGUGACAGGUGGUGCAUGGUUGUCGUCAGCUCGUGUCGUGAGAUGUUGGGUUAAGUCCCGCAACGAGCGCAACCCUUGUCCUUAGUUGCCAGCAUUGAGUUGGGCACUCUAAGGAGACUGCCGUCGACAAGACGGAGGAAGGUGGGGAUGACGUCAAAUCAUCAUGCCCCUUAUGUCCUGGGCUACACACGUGCUACAAUGGAUGGUACAACGGGCUGCGAACUCGCGAGAGUAAGCCAAUCCCAAAAAACCAUUCUCAGUUCGGAUUGUAGGCUGCAACUCGCCUACAUGAAGUCGGAAUCGCUAGUAAUCGCGGAUCAGCAUGCCGCGGUGAAUACGUUCCCGGGUCUUGUACACACCG